rnacentral:rRNA from 1 species
CCUACGGGUGGCAGCAGUAGGGAAUAUUGCUCAAUGGGGGAAACCCUGAAGCAGCAACGCCGCGUGGAGGAUGAAGGUUUUCGGAUUGUAAACUCCUUUUGUUAGAGAAGAAAGUGAAGGUAUCUAACGAAUAAGCACUGGCUAACGCCGUGCCAGCAGCCGCGGUAAUACGGCGGGUGCAAGCGUUACUCGGAAUUACUGGGCGUAAAGAGCGCGUAGGCGGGAUAGCAAGUCAGAGGUGAAAUCCUAUGGCUUAACCAUAGAACUGCCUUUGAAACUGUUAUUCUAGAGUAUGGGAGAGGUAGGUGGAAUUCUUGGUGUAGGGGUAAAAUCCGUAGAGAUCAAGAGGAA